rnacentral:ribozyme from 1 species
CAAACCCGGACUCUCCUGCUAAUGUCGAGGCAUGCAGGCUAUACAAGGAAGACCAGAAAGCGUACAAACGAAAAGUACGGGCAGUGGCAGAAGAGUCCGUCAACUGAGGCCGAAUGCUAACCUUCGCUGUUGUAUUUGCACUUUUAUGUACAUAUUGUUUUGUUCUGUUUUGUUUUGUUUUCACUUUGU